rnacentral:rRNA from 1 species
CCCUUAGAUGUCCUGGGCCGCACGCGCGCUACACUGAGUGUCUGAGAUACGAGUCUGCCUGGUCCGGCAAGGUCUAGGUAAUCGCUAAAAGACACAUCAUGCUUGGGAUAGAUUAUUGCAAAUAUUAAUCUUGAACGAGGAAUUCCUAGUAAGCGCAAGUCAACAGCUUGCGUUGAUUACGUCCCUGCCCUUUGUACACAUCGCCCGUCGCUACUACUGAUUGGAUGUUUAAGCGAGGUUCUCGAACUGCUAGCGACUUAGCUUCGGUGAGGUCGCAGUGUGGGAAGUGAACCUAGCUUUGGUGUCUAGAGGAAGUAAAAGUCGUAACA